rnacentral:rRNA from 1 species
GAUGAACGCUGGCGGCGUGCCUAAUACAUGCAAGUCGAGCGAACAGAUAAGGAGCUUGCUCCUUUGACGUUAGCGGCGGACGGGUGAGUAACACGUGGGUAACCUACCUAUAAGACUGGGAUAACUUCGGGAAACCGGAGCUAAUACCGGAUAACAUUUGGAACCGCAUGGUUCUAAAGUGAAAGAUGGUUUUGCGAGCACUUAUAGAUGGACCCGCGCCGUAUUAGCUAGUUGGUAAGGUAACGGCUUACCAAGGCGACGAUACGUAGCCGACCUGAGAGAGUGAUCGGCCACCCUAGAACUUAGACACGGUCCAUACUCCUACGGUAGGCAGCAGUAGGGAAUCUUCCGCAAUGGGCGAAAGCCUGACGGAGCAACGCCGCGUGAGUGAUGAAGGGUUUCGGCUCGUAAAACUCUGUUAUUAGGGAAGAACCAAUGUGUAAGUAACUGUGCACGUCUUGACGGUACCUAAUCAGAAAGCCACGGCUAACUACGUG